rnacentral:rRNA from 1 species
UACGGGAGGCAGCAGUGGGGAAUAUUGCACAAUGGGCGAAAGCCUGAUGCAGCUAUGCCGCGUGUAUGAAGAAGGCCUUAGGGUUGUAAAGUACUUUCAGCAGGGAGGAAAGAAAUAAAACUAAUAAUUUUAUUUUGUGACGUUACCUGAAGAAGAAGCACCGGCUAACUCCGUGCCAGCAGCCGCGGUAAUACGGAGGUUGCAAGCGUUAAUCAGAAUUACUGGGCGUAAAGAGCGCGUAGGUGGUUUUUUUAAGUCAGAUGUGAAAUCCCUAGGCUUAACCUAGGAACUGCAUUUUGAAACUGAAAAACUAGAGUAUCGUAGAGGGAGGUAGAAUUCUAGGUGUAGCGGUGAAAUGCGUAGAUAUCUGGAGGAAUACCUGUGGCGAAAGCGGCCUCCUAAACGAAUACUGACACUGAGGUGCGAAAGCGUGGGGAGCAAACAGGGAUUAGAUACC